GCCCUGUAGCGCAGUUGGUUAGCGUGCCGCCCUGUCACGGCGGAGGUCGCGGGUUCAAGUCCCGUCAGGUCGCUCCG
rnacentral:tRNA from 1 species